rnacentral:rRNA from 1 species
AUUGAACGCUGGCGGCAGGCCCAACACAUGCAAGUCGAGCGGUAGCACAGAGAGCUUGCUCUCGGGUGACGAGCGGCGGACGGGUGAGUAAUGUCUGGGAAACUGCCUGAUGGAGGGGGAUAACUACUGGAAACGGUAGCUAAUACCGCAUAAUGUCGCAAGACCAAAGUGGGGGACCUUCGGGCCUCAUGCCAUCAGAUGUGCCCAGAUGGGAUUAGCUAGUAGGUGGGGUAACGGCUCACCUAGGCGACGAUCCCUAGCUGGUCUGAGAGGAUGACCAGCCACACUGGAACUGAGACACGGUCCAGACUCCUACGGGAGGCAGCAGUGGGGAAUAUUGCACAAUGGGCGCAAGCCUGAUGCAGCCAUGCCGCGUGUGUGAAGAAGGCCUUCGGGUUGUAAAGCACUUUCAGCGGGGAGGAAGGCGGUGAGGUUAAUAACCUCAUCGAUUGACGUUACCCGCAGAAGAAGCACCGGCUAACUCCGUGCCAGCAGCCGCGGUAAUACGGAGGGUGCAAGCGUUAAUCGGAAUUACUGGGCGUAAAGCGCACGCAGGCGGUCUGUCAAGUCGGAUGUGAAAUCCCCGGGCUCAACCUGGGAACUGCAUUCGAAACUGGCAGGCUAGAGUCUUGUAGAGGGGGGUAGAAUUCCAGGUGUAGCGGUGAAAUGCGUAGAGAUCUGGAGGAAUACCGGUGGCGAAGGCGGCCCCCUGGACAAAGACUGACGCUCAGGUGCGAAAGCGUGGGGAGCAAACAGGAUUAGAUACCCUGGUAGUCCACGCCGUAAACGAUGUCGAUUUGGAGGUUGUGCCCUUGAGGCGUGGCUUCCGGAGCUAACGCGUUAAAUCGACCGCCUGGGGAGUACGGCCGCAAGGUUAAAACUCAAAUGAAUUGACGGGGGCCCGCACAAGCGGUGGAGCAUGUGGUUUAAUUCGAUGCAACGCGAAGAACCUUACCUGGUCUUGACAUCCACAGAACUUUCCAGAGAUGGAUUGGUGCCUUCGGGAACUGUGAGACAGGUGCUGCAUGGCUGUCGUCAGCUCGUGUUGUGAAAUGUUGGGUUAAGUCCCGCAACGAGCGCAACCCUUAUCCUUUGUUGCCAGCGGUUAGGCCGGGAACUCAAAGGAGACUGCCAGUGAUAAACUGGAGGAGGGUGGGGAUGACGUCAAGUCAUCAUGGCCCUUACGACCAGGGCUACACACGUGCUACAAUGGCAUAUACAAAGAGAAGCGACCUCGCGAGAGCAAGCGGACCUCAUAAAGUAUGUCGUAGUCCGGAUUGGAGUCUGCAACUCGACUCCAUGAAGUCGGAAUCGCUAGUAAUCGUAGAUCAGAAUGCUACGGUGAAUACGUUCCCGGGCCU